ACGGGGGGGGUGUGCUAAUACAUGCAAGUCGAACGCGUUGGCCCAAUUGAUUGAUGGUGCUUGCACCUGAUUGAUUUUGGUCGCCAACGAGUGGCGGACGGGUGAGUAACACGUAGGUAACCUGCCCAGAAGCGGGGGACAACAUUUGGAAACAGAUGCUAAUACCGCAUAACAGCGUUGUUCGCAUGAACAACGCUUAAAAGAUGGCUUCUCGCUAUCACUUCUGGAUGGACCUGCGGUGCAUUAGCUUGUUGGUGGGGUAACGGCCUACCAAGGCGAUGAUGCAUAGCCGAGUUGAGAGACUGAUCGGCCACAAUGGGACUGAGACACGGCCCAUACUCCUACGGGAGGCAGCAGUAGGGAAUCUUCCACAAUGGGCGCAAGCCUGAUGGAGCAACACCGCGUGAGUGAAGAAGGGUUUCGGCUCGUAAAGCUCUGUUGUUAAAGAAGAACACGUAUGAGAGUAACUGUUCAUACGUUGACGGUAUUUAACCAGAAAGUCACGGCUAACUACGUGCCAGCAGCCGCGGUAAUACGUAGGUGGCAAGCGUUAUCCGGAUUUAUUGGGCGUAAAGAGAGUGCAGGCGGUUUUCUAAGUCUGAUGUGAAAGCCUUCGGCUUAACCGGAGAAGUGCAUCGGAAACUGGAUAACUUGAGUGCAGAAGAGGGUAGUGGAACUCCAUGUGUAGCGGUGGAAUGCGUAGAUAUAUGGAAGAACACCAGUGGCGAAGGCGGCUACCUGGUCUGCAACUGACGCUGAGACUCGAAAGCAUGGGUAGCGAACAGGAUUAGAUACCCUGGUAGUCCAUGCCGUAAACGAUGAGUGCUAGGUGUUGGAGGGUUUCCGCCCUUCAGUGCCGGAGCUAACGCAUUAAGCACUCCGCCUGGGGAGUACGACCGCAAGGUUGAAACUCAAAGGAAUUGACGGGGGCCCGCACAAGCGGUGGAGCAUGUGGUUUAAUUCGAAGCUACGCGAAGAACCUUACCAGGUCUUGACAUCUUGCGCCAACCCUAGAGAUAGGGCGUUUCCUUCGGGAACGCAAUGACAGGUGGUGCAUGGUCGUCGUCAGCUCGUGUCGUGAGAUGUUGGGUUAAGUCCCGCAACGAGCGCAACCCUUGUUACUAGUUGCCAGCAUUAAGUUGGGCACUCUAGUGAGACUGCCGGUGACAAACCGGAGGAAGGUGGGGACGACGUCAGAUCAUCAUGCCCCUUAUGACCUGGGCUACACACGUGCUACAAUGGACGGUACAACGAGUCGCGAACUCGCGAGGGCAAGCAAAUCUCUUAAAACCGUUCUCAGUUCGGACUGCAGGCUGCAACUCGCCUGCACGAAGUCGGAAUCGCUAGUAAUCGCGGAUCAGCAUGCCGCGGUGAAUACGUUCCCGGGCCUUGUACACACCGCCCGUCACACCAUGAGAGUUUGUAACACCCAAAGUCGGUGGGGUAACCUUUUAGGAGCCAGCCGCGUAAGGUGACCAGAAUU
rnacentral:rRNA from 1 species